UACGUAGGGGGCAAGCGUUAUCCGGAUUUACUGGGUGUAAAGGGAGCGCAGACGGCACAGCAAGUCUGGAGUGAAAGCCCGCGGCUCAACCGCGGGACUGCUCUGGAAACUGUUGAGCUUGAGUGCAGGAGAGGCAGGCGGAAUUCCUAGUGUAGCGGUGAAAUGCGUAGAUAUUAGGAGGAACACCAGUGGCGAAGGCGGCCUGCUGGACUGUAACUGACGCUGAGGCACGAAAGCGUGGGGAGCAAAUA
rnacentral:rRNA from 1 species